CAAUUUUCAAUUCAUCCCAUUCCCUAAACUCUCGCUCCACUUGCUGCGAUGCUGCCCUUCCUAACGUAUCUCUCUCUCCAUCUGCAAUUCUGCAAUCGUCGAUCUGCAUCUGUCCUCAAUUUUUUUGUGCUUUUCAUUUGUCGUCCAAUUUCUUCGGUUUUUAGCUUCUGGGUGAUGACGUCAAGCUUUUGAGUUUCGUCUUGGUGGUUGUUAAAGACCAGGUUUCAACAUGUCAAUUCAAACUUCUUUACUUGGUAAACGAUAAAGCUUAGAAGAGGAGAUGAAUCUACCUUCUGACUCAUCGAAAAAAUUCUGACUCCGGAUCUGAUUGGAAGUAAUCAAAUUCAAUCCACAAUUGCUGAUACUGAGGAAGAAACACAUGAAGAAAAUGGCCCCCUUAAUGAUGUUGACAGUUGCAGCCAUACUGUAAGGACAAAAUGAGUUGUAUGGCAACAUUUCAAGAAAGAUAAAGUUGAUGGCAAGGAUAAAACAGAGUGUAACUAUUUUCGUAAACAACUUGCUGGUGGUUCCAAAAACGGGACAAGGCACUUGCAUGCACAUUAUAAAAUCUGUCCAAGGCAAAACUAUGGAGAUGUAUCACAAAAGAUUAUGUCGAUGACCCCGGGAGAGGAUGCAAGUUCAAAGUCACAAAUGACCUUAACUUCGCAUCAACUUGAUCAAGAGUUGGUGAGGAAGGACCUUGCAAUGAUGAUUGUUCUACAUGAAUAUCCUUUGAGCAUGGUUGAUCAUUACGGGUUUAAAAGAUUUUGUAACAGCAUGCAACCGUUGUUUAAGGUUGUGAGUAAAAACACUAUUAAGAAAGACAUAUUCAAGAUGUAUGAUGUAGAAAAAGAGAAGACAAUGAAAUUGUUAAACGAAAACCGGAGUAGGAUUGCUAUCACUUCGGAUUUGUGGACUGCCAGCAAUCAAAACAAAGGAUAUAUGACGAUCACAGCGCACUUUAUCGACAACAACUGGGUCUUAAAAAGUCGACUCAUAAGAUUUUUAUAUGUGUCUUGCCCACAUACUAGAGAUGUGCUUGCUACAGCAUUGAUGGAUUGCUUUUAUGAGUACAAUAUUGAUAGAAAGUUGUAGACAUUGACGCUUGAUAACUGCUCCACCAAUGAUGCAGUUGUUGAAGAUAUCUUAAACGAACUUCCAAGUGCCUCACUUAUGCUACGUGGUUUAUUGUUUCAUAUACGUUGUUGUGCGCAUAUUCUGAAUCUAAUUGUUCAAGAUGGAUUAUCGGUGAUUGGACAAGCAAUUGCAAGAAUCUGUGAGAGUGUUGCUUAUUGGUCAGCAUCUCCUAAAAGAGAGCAAAAUUUUGUUGAAGCAGCACAUCAAGAAGGCAUUGAAAGUACGAAAUAGUUGGCUUUUGACUGUAAGACUCGUUGGAACUCAACUUAUUUAACGCUUGAAACUGCUUUCAUUUACAAACAUGUGUUUUUUUGUUUAAAGCUUCGUGAGCCACAAUAUAGAUGUUUGCCAAUUGAGGAGGAAUGGGAGUUGGUAGAACAAGUUUGUUCAAAGUUAAAAUAUUUUAUGUUGCCACAAACUUGUUCUGUAGAACAAAAUAUUCGACAUCUAAUAUUUAUUUCCCAAAAGUUUGUGAAAUUAGAAUUGCAUUGUCUAACUGGCUUAGAUGUGGGAAUUAUUUGAUAAAGAAUAUGGCAGCAAAAAUGUUUGAAAAAUUUAGCAAGUGUUGGGAUGUGAUUCACGGUGUCUUGGGGGGUAGCGAGUCUUUUAGAUCCUAGAUACAAAAUGAAAUCGUUAGAUUAUUUUUUCCUCGGAUCUAUGGAGUUGAUGGUAAAUAUCAUAUUCUGAGAAUUCAAGGAUUAUUAUCAGAUUAUUUAAUUAGUACCAAUCUAAGCAAGGAAGUAGUCAACCUCCUCCUAAUGCAGCACCUUCUUUCAGACUAAUAUUCCUUGUAGUGAGGACGAUGGGUCCGUUAGUGACUUUGAGAUGUAUAUUGCCCAAGAAUCAAAUGUUGUUGAAGGAAAGUCAGAACUGGAUUUUUAUUUAGAGGAGAAACUUUUGCUUAGGACUCCUAACUUUGACAUAUUGGUUUGGUGGAAGGCAAGUAGGCCUAAAUAUCCAAUCCUCUCUUCUAUUGCUUGAGACAUCCUUGCUAUUCCUGUCUCCACAAUCGCUUCUGAGUCUAUAUUUAGCACGGAUGGGAAGGUAGUAAGUCCACAUCGCAACAAACUUCAUUCAGAUACAUUAGAAGUAUUGAUGUGUGCUCAAAAUUGGUUAUGGGCGGAUAUAAAAGGUCAAAAAUCAUGCUCGACAUUUUUUUAUGACACUAAUGAGGGAGAAGAGGAAUUAUGAUGACAAUGAAUAGGGAAAUAAUAUUUGGAUGGGAUAUGAUGUUGGCGAGAGGAUUUUUGAUGACUAGAAACAAAUGGUUCAAAAAUCGGAGUUGAGACAAGGAAGUUAACGUGGAUUUACCAUCACAUGCAAAAUCUGGAAAAUGCACCAGUUUUGAGUAUGCUUCGGUAUUUCGAUAAGAACUUGAGCUAUGUAUAUCUGAUUGGGCUUAUUCUUGAACCAUUGUAAAGCUAACUCACAGGGAUACAACUUUUGUGUUAUGACUUCUUCAGAUUAUGACGUUUUUGUACUAAAAAAUGAAGAUAUUUCGGUGCCAUGACAGAAAAUUUUUGGCGUUGCGAUAUCUACUCUCGGGUUUGAAGGGAGGAUUUCUGUAAAAAGUGUGCCGAGGCAUGAAAAAUUCAUGCUGAGGAAGGCAUGAUGAACGAGUUUGGUGCCAAGGCAUAAAAAAUUGGCGCCACGGCAUAGAACGGGAAUUUUAGAUAAACAAGAAGUCUUGUAAAACUUAAUCCGGAUUUUGUUCUCCUUAUUUUUCCCACAACCCUAGCACUAUAAAAGGAUGUCUUUAGGUAUUUUUUAAAGAAGAG